rnacentral:rRNA from 1 species
UGCUCAGAUUGAACGCUGGCGGCAGGCCUAACACAUGCAAGUCGAGCGGUAGAGAGAAGCUUGCUUCUCUUGAGAGCGGCGGACGGGUGAGUAAUGCCUAGGAAUCUGCCUGGUAGUGGGGGAUAACGUUCGGAAACGGACGCUAAUACCGCAUACGUCCUACGGGAGAAAGCAGGGGACCUUCGGGCCUUGCGCUAUCAGAUGAGCCUAGGUCGGAUUAGCUAGUUGGUGGGGUAAUGGCUCACCAAGGCGACGAUCCGUAACUGGUCUGAGAGGAUGAUCAGUCACACUGGAACUGAGACACGGUCCAGACUCCUACGGGAGGCAGCAGUGGGGAAUAUUGGACAAUGGGCGAAAGCCUGAUCCAGCCAUGCCGCGUGUGUGAAGAAGGUCUUCGGAUUGUAAAGCACUUUAAGUUGGGAGGAAGGGUUGUAGAUUAAUACUCUGCAAUUUUGACGUUACCGACAGAAUAAGCACCGGCUAACU